CAGUCGCCACGGUAAUACGUAGGGUGCAAGCGUUAAUCGGAAUUACUGGGCGUAAAGCGUGCGCAGGCGGUUAUAUAAGACAGAUGUGAAAUCCCCGGGCUCAACCUGGGAACUGCAUUUGUGACUGUAUAGCUAGAGUACGGCAGAGGGGGAUGGAAUUCCGCGUGUAGCAGUGAAAUGCGUAGAUAUGCGGAGGAACACCGAUGGCGAAGGCAAUCCCCUGGGCCUGUACUGACGCUCAUGCACGAAAGCGUGGGGAGCAAACAGGAUUAGAUACCCGAGUAGUCCCUGUCUCUUAUAU
rnacentral:rRNA from 1 species